GGUAGCCGGGCAGUUUGACUGGGGCGGUACGCGCUCGAAAAGAUAUCGAGCGCGCCCAAAGAUUUCCUCACGCGAGUCGGGAACUCGUGGAAGAGCGCAAGAGCAAACGGAAGUCUGACAGUGACAUUCCCAACGAGUGUCGCUGACGCGAAAGCGUGGUCUAGCGAACCUACGAGGUUCAUUCAUGGGACCCGUAGAUGACAGAAAGCUACCUUAGGGAUAACAGAGUCGUCACCGGCAAGAGCACAUAUCGACCCGGUGGCUUGCUACCUCGAUGUCGGUUCCCUCCAUCCUGCCUGUGCAGAAGCAGGCAAGGGUGAGGUUGUUCGCCUAUUAAAGGAGGUCGUGAGCUGGGUUUAGACCGUCGUGAGACAGGUCGGCUGCUAUCUAUUGGGGGUGUUAAGGAACUUGACGUGAACGUUCGUAUAGUACGAGAGGAACUACGAAUGGGUGCCACUGGUGUACCGGUUGUCCGAGAGGGCAGAUGCCGGGCAGCUACGCACCACGGGGUAAGAGCUGAACGCAUCUAAGCUCGAAACCCACACGGAAAAGAAGUUCCACUGAGGACACUCGUAGAAGACGAGUUCGAUAGACUCGGGGUGUACGCAACGAGGCAACGAGUUGUUAAGCCCGCGAGCACUAACAGUCCAAGCCACAUUCA
rnacentral:rRNA from 1 species